rnacentral:rRNA from 1 species
CACGUAGGCGGACAUUUAAGUCAGGGGUGAAAUCCCACGAGCUCAACUCUGGAACUGCCUUUGAUACUGGGUGUCUUGAGUAUGGAAGAGGUGAGUGGAAUUCCGAGUGUAGAGGUGAAAUUCGUAGAUAUUCGGAGGAACACCAGUGGCGAAGGCGGCUCACUGGUCCAUUACUGACGCUGAGGUGCGAAAGCGUGGGAGCAAACA